rnacentral:rRNA from 1 species
UACGAAGGGGGCUAGCGUUGCUCGGAAUCACUGGGCGUAAAGGGUGCGUAGGCGGGUCUUUAAGUCAGGGGUGAAAUCCUGGAGCUCAACUCCAGAACUGCCUUUGAUACUGAGGAUCUUGAGUCCGGGAGAGGUGAGUGGAACUGCGAGUGUAGAGGUGAAAUUCGUAGAUAUUCGCAAGAACACCAGUGGCGAAGGCGGCUCACUGGCCCGGUACUGACGCUGAGAUACGAAAGC